rnacentral:tRNA from 1 species
GGGGUUGUGGCUCAGAGGUAGAGUGCUUGCCUCACAUGCAUGAGGUAGUGGGUUAGAUUCUCAGCACCA